rnacentral:rRNA from 1 species
UACAGAGGGUGCAAGCGUUGUUCGGAAUUAUUGGGCGUAAAGGGCGCGUAGGCGGUGCGGUAAGUCUGUAGUGAAAUCUCUGGGCUCAACUCAGAGUCUGCUGCAGAAACUGCCGUGCUUGAGUGUGGGAGAGGUGAGUGGAAUUCCCGGUGUAGCGGUGAAAUGCGUAGAUAUCGGGGAGGAACACCUGUGGCGAAAAGCGGCUCACUGGACCACAACUGACGCUGAGGCGCGAAAGCUAGGGGAGCAAACA